GACGAACGCUGGCGGCGUGCCUAAUACAUGCAAGUGGAACGCUGAAGGAGGAGCUUGCUUCUCUGGAUGAGUUGCGAACGGGUGAGUAACGCGUAGGUAACCUGCCUGGUAGCGGGGGAUAACUAUUGGAAACGAUAGCUAAUACCGCAUAAGAGUAGAUGUUGCAUGACAUUUGCUUAAAAGGUGCAAUUGCAUCACUACCAGAUGGACCUGCGUUGUAUUAGCUAGUUGGUGAGGUAACGGCUCACCAAGGCAACGAUACAUAGCCGACCUGAGAGGGUGAUCGGCCACACUGGGACUGAGACACGGCCCAGACUCCUACGGGAGGCAGCAGUAGGGAAUCUUCGGCAAUGGACGGAAGUCUGACCGAGCAACGCCGCGUGAGUGAAGAAGGUUUUCGGAUCGUAAAGCUCUGUUGUAAGAGAAGAACGAGUGUGAGAGUGGAAAGUUCACACUGUGACGGUAGCUUACCAGAAAGGGACGGCUAACUACGUG
rnacentral:rRNA from 1 species